CACAUCCAAUGUCUGUACGAGAAACCGCAAGGUGAGUACAGUGGCGUACGGGUGAGUAACACGUGGGUAAUCUACCUUCGGGUUCCGGAUAACCCGCCGAAAGGCGGGCUAAUACGGGAUGAGACCACAGGUCUGCGGACUAGGGGUUAAAGCGGGCGCAAGCUCGCACCUGAAGAUGAGCCUGCGCAGCAUUAGCUAGUUGGUGAGGUAAUGGCUUACCAAGGCGACGAUGCUUAGCUGGUCUGAGAGGAUGAUCAGCCACACUGGAACUGAAACACGGUCCAGACACCUACGGGUGGCAGCAGUGGGGAAUCUUGCGCAAUGGACGAAAGUCUGACGCAGCGACGCCGCGUGGGCGAUGAAGGCCUUCGGGUCGUAAAGCCCUGUCAGCAGGGAGUAAGAUCGGUGACCUAACACGUCAUCGGUUUGAACGUACCUGCAGAGGAAGCACCGGCUAACUCUGUGCCAGCAGCCGCGGUAAUACAGAGGGUGCGAGCGUUGUUCGAAAUCAUUGGGCGUAAAGCGCGUGUAGGCGGUGA
rnacentral:rRNA from 1 species